AGGAGCUCGCGUCUGAUUAGCUAGUUGGUGAGGUAAAAGCUCACCAAGGCAGCGAUCAGUAGCUGGUCUGAGAGGACGAUCAGCCACACUGGGACUGAGACACGGCCCAGACUCCUACGGGAGGCAGCAGUGGGGAAUUUUCCGCAAUGGGCGAAAGCCUGACGGAGCAAGACCGCGUGAGGGAGGAAGGCUCUUGGGUUGUAAACCUCUUUUCUCAGGGAAGAAGCUCUAACGGUACCUGAGGAAUCAGCCUCGGCUAACUCCGUGCCAGCAGCCGCGGUAAUACCGGAGGAGGCAAGCGUUAUCCGGAACUAUUGGGCGUAAAGCGUCCGCAAGGGGCACUUCAAGUCUGCUGUCAAAGGUCGGAGCUUAACUCCGGUUCGGCAGUGGAAACUGGAGCGCUAGAGGGCGACAGGGGUAAAGGGAAUUCCCAGUGUAGCGGUGAAAUGCGUAGAGAUUGGGAAGAACACCGGUGGCGAAAAGCGCUCUACUGGGUCGCACCUGACCCUCAGGGACGAAAGUUACGGUUAGCGAACGGGAUUAAGAAUACCCCUGUAGUCUUAGCCGAAAACGAUGGAUACUAGGCGUGGUUUGUAUCGACCCAAGCCAUGCCGAAGCUAACGCGUUAAGUAUCC
rnacentral:rRNA from 1 species